UACGUAGGCAGCAAGCGUUGUUCGGAAUUACUGGGCGUAAAGAGUGUGUAGGCGGUGUUCUAAGUCUGGUGUGAAAUCUCCCGGCUCAACUGGGAGGGUGCGCUAGAAACUGGAAUGCUAGAGGAUGGGAGAGGUAAGCGGAAUUCCUGGUGUAGCGGUGAAAUGCGUAGAUAGUCAGGAGGAACACCUGUGGUGUAGACAGCUUACUGGACCAUUUCUGACGCUGAGACACGAAAGCGUGGGUAGCAAACAGG
rnacentral:rRNA from 1 species